CAUUUGUACAGCACAGAAUUUCAGGACACAGGGCCAUCUAAGAAGAGCGUAUCAACCUGGAAUCCCUACCUGCUGUCUCUAACCCUCCUGAGGAAAUCGGAAGUUCUGAAGAUCAUUUGAAAAAGGACUUGAAGAAAAUGGCAGAGAGAGCAUUCAAUCUCCUAAAUGAUGACAGCAGAAUGCUUUGGGAAGAGGUCGUGAGCGGCGUGGAGGAGGAAGUCGAUCUGAAAUGCUUGAGGAGGUGGAGAAGAAAAGCCAGAGAGAGCGGAGAGACCUUGGGAAGAGAGGGCUGGAGAGGCCAGACGUGAGAAUCCAGCGCCCCGCUGCCACCUCGGCCACACGGAGGCAUUUCGCGGAGCCUCGGUUCCCUCAUUAGAAAAACCGAGGGGUGGAACUGCUUCGUUUUUGAAGUUCCUUCCAGCUCUAAAAUGUCUUAGUUGUAUGCAAGCCAAAAUAAACAAAAAAUGGUAUCACUUUAUGCAUAUGCUCUUCUAAAUAUCCCAGUGGGAAAGCACGAAGCCUGUGUUUCCAGCUCGCUGCUUCAGAGAUGCCAGUUCACAACUCGUUUUUUAAUCUCGGGGACAUUAUCCGAAUUCCUGAUGAAAGUGAGUCGUAGUUGUGUAGGGGCCAGGGUGUGUAUGUGUGAGAAGACAGAGAAAGAGCAGGAGAGCGAGAGAAAGAGAGAGAGAGAGAGGAACAGACAAGAGUAGGUCCUCCUCAAUAUUUGGACUAUGGUCUCUGACUACAAGAGAGCACCGCUAGCAACACUAUUUCAUUCAUGAUCUGGUUCACUUGGUAAUUUUCAAGCCUCUACAAUAUAUUAGGUAUAAACAUUUCCAAAACAUUGCCUAUCCCAAUUUCUUUUAACAAGGACAGAAGAAUUAUCUGCA